GAGCCAUGCGUCGAGUACAAAGCGAACUAUUCUUUCGCCUUUUACUAAAGAAUACCGUGUGCUUGUCGCCACAAGUGGCAUACGCCUAUUUUUUAAGGGUUGCACCUUUGUGGGUGACC